ACUCCUACGGGAGGCAGCAGUGGGGAAUAUUGCACAAUGGGCGCAAGCCUGAUGCAGCCAUGCCGCGUGUAUGAAGAAGGCCUUCGGGUUGUAAAGUACUUUCAGCGAGGAGGAAGGCAUUAAGGUUAAUAACCUUAGUGAUUGACGUUACUCGCAGAAGAAGCACCGGCUAACUUCGUACCAGCAGCCGCGGUAAU
rnacentral:rRNA from 1 species